GCAAGCCGAACGGCAAGUUGAGUAGCAAUACCCAACCUAGAGUGGCGUAAGGGUGCGUAACACGUAUGCAAUCUACCCUCAACCAAGGGAUAGCUCACCGAAAGGGGAAUUAAUACUUUAUGGUAUCACAAUUGAGCAUUCUUUUGUGAUUAAACUUAAGGGUCGAGGAUGAGCAUGCGCCUGAUUAGUUAGUUGGUAGUGUAACGGACUACCAAGACGAUGAUCAGUAGGGGAACUGAGAGGUUGGUC
rnacentral:rRNA from 1 species